GCAUUUUCCUCCCAUAACGUGCUUGUCUGUGAAUAGUUUGGUCUUUAAAAAAAAUAAAUAAAUAAAUAAAAAUUUAAUGCAUUAAGCCACAUUAAGCAUUCCAGCUGAUUGAAAGAAUGGGCUCAAUAAUGGUCACAAAAUGGGUAUCGGAGAAGAUAUCCUAUAUAUAAUUUAAUAUAUUAAUUUAAUAUAAAUAGAUGAUACUUUAUAAAGUUUAUCUCAAUAUUUGACAGCAGUGGUUGUGAGACAACUGCACUAAAAUAAGAGCAUAAUGCAUGAAAUUGCAUUCGUUACUAUAGCAACAGAUUACAGGUAUGUCCUUUCAGAAUCAUCACUGGCCGGUAGAAAUAAAAGUUUCUCGAUUUCUUCACUUUAAAAUAACGAGGAGCAGCAUAUUUUCCUUAAAUAAAGGGGAGGAAAAGUCUAUGCUUUGCAAUGUAGUAAAGAAAAUUAAAGUUUCAUAAAAAUUGAAAUGGCACACAGCAGACACAUUAGCCUGUUGCAGAUAAUUAUACGUAACAAUAAUUGUCUUGUCAUGCUAUAUAAAUUAAAACAAUACUUUCUCAUGCUCUGAUGAUAUGAAACAAUCAAAUUUACAAAAAAUAUUUAAUUCAUAAUUCAUUCUUCUAUCUGAAGACCUGAUCCUCCCACUGUGGAUAAUCAACCCAAUUCAUUUAUUAGUUGGUUGUUCAUCUGUUAGCCUAAAGAUCAGAUUAAUUUACCAAAACAAUCAUUUCAGGGACAUGGCGAGUUACAGGUUAAUGUUCUAUUUUUUCUUCUGUGCAUUAUAAUGAAGGCUUUGUAAAACUGCACAUCCUUUUUAGCUUUUUAAACAACAUACUCCAUCCUACACCAAUAUGCACACAUUUCCUAUCAUGUAUGUCUAUGAAAGACGAUCGAACCAAUCAGAGUAGGUAUGGGGCGGGGCGACACGUGCAGCCCCGCCCCAGAUGCAGCCCCACCUCGAUCUGCAGGCUGCAGCUGGGUGCUUCUCGCAGUACUGGCUAAACCCACGUCCCAUCCCAUGACUGGCGUCAGGGACAUUUUCUCCUCAAGUGGCGUGAUGACAGCGGGAAUGAGCUUUGGAAACUCUAAUGUGCUGGUCAGAAACACUAGGACGUGACCUCUUAACGUCACGCUGAUGAACCGUCUCACAUCUCUCAGACUGUCAGGAUCCCUGCAGCUCCAGAGAAGAUGAAGAAGAAGAUCCAUAACUGGAGGUUCUUCACUCAUCCACUUGGUGGGGACAGAGACAGAAAUACAGUCACGUCUAUACAUUCAUGAGCAAUACUGAUUUACACUGCAAAUGAAGAAAGGGGUUUGUCCAACAGGAAUGAAUUGAACGAGUGUGUGAUUCAUUUAGUUCAUCUAUAAAUGAAAAUAUUGUCAUAACAUAAAUGUAUGGCUUUGGUUCUUCAGAGAAACUCUAAAGGAGGAUUCUGAAGGCUAUUGUUUCUAUUCAGGGCUGGACCGGGGUUCAAAU
ensembl:lncRNA